rnacentral:rRNA from 1 species
CCUACGGGUGGCUGCAGUAAGGAAUAUUGGUCAAUGGAGGCAACUCUGAACCAGCCAUGCCGCGUGCAGGAAGACUGCCCUAUGGGUUGUAAACUGCUUUUAUACGGGAAUAAACCUAUCUACGAGUAGAUAGCUGAAUGUACUGUAAGAAUAAGGAUCGGCUAACUCCGUGCCAGCAGCCGCGGUAAUACGGAGGAUCCAAGCGUUAUCCGGAUUUAUUGGGUUUAAAGGGAGCGUAGGCGGCCAUUUAAGUCAGAGGUGAAAACUUGCAGCUC